UACGUAGGUGGCGAGCGUUGUCCGGAAUUACUGGGUGUAAAGGGCGUGUAGGCGGGAUUGCAAGUCAGAUGUGAAAUUCUUGGGCUUAACCCAAGGGCUGCAUCUGAAACUGUAAUUCUUGAGUGCUGGAGAGGAUAGUGGAAUUCCUAGUGUAGCGGUGAAAUGCGUAGAUAUUAGGAGGAACACCAGUGGCGAAGGCGGCUAUCUGGACAGUAACUGACGCUGAGGCGCGAAAGCGUGGGGAGCAAAC
rnacentral:rRNA from 1 species